AAUGAGAUUGCUGGAUCUCAUGGUAAGACUACAUUUACUUUUAUAAGAAACUGUCACACUGCCUUUCAAAGAGGCUGUGCCAUUUUGCACUCCCACCAGCAAC
rnacentral:pre_miRNA from 1 species